CAACCCUCGAGCCCCCCCGGGGGCCCGGUGUUGGGGGACGGCCCCGCCCCUCGCGGGCGCCGCCCCCGAAAUCCAGUGGCGGUCCCGCCGCGUCCUCCCAUGCGCAGUAGCUCUUGCUCGCAGAGGGAGCGCGGCGAGGCCACGCCGUAAAACCCCAUACUUCUGAAAAGG
rnacentral:misc_RNA from 1 species